rnacentral:rRNA from 1 species
GGCGAACGCUGGCGGCGUGCUUAACACAUGCAAGUCGAACGGUGAAGCUCCAGCUUGCUGGAGUGGAUCAGUGGCGAACGGGUGAGUAACACGUGAGCAACCUGCCCCUGACUCUGGAAUAAGCGCUGGAAACGGCGUCUAAUACUGGAUACGAGAAGGGUCCGCAUGGGCACUUUCUGGAAAGUUUUUCGGUUGGGGAUGGGCUCGCGGCCUAUCAGCUUGUUGGUGAGGUAAUGGCUCACCAAGGCGACGACGGGUAGCCGGCCUGAGAGGGCGACCGGCCACACUGGGACUGAGACACGGCCCAGACUCCUACGGGAGGCAGCAGUGGGGAAGAUUGCACAAUGGGCGAAAGCCUGAUGCAGCGACGCCGCGUGAGGGAUGACGGCCUUCGGGUUGUAAACCUCUGUCAGCAGGGAAGAAGCGAAAGUGACGGUACCUGCAGAAGAAGCACCGGCUAACUACGUG